ACAAUAAUAAUAAUAACUAAACCCUAUCAACCCUCAACCUCAAUCUCACUCUCUCUCGUUCUUUUCCUCAAACCCAACUAGCCUCCUCUGUCCCUCUUUGAUGGCAUGCAUGGAUCACGGCGAGGUGGGUGGCUGGUGGUCGGAUCACGGCGGCGGGCUCGAUGCAGAGGCAGGGGGCUCGGCUCUCUCACUCCUUCGUCCUCCCAUCUCUCACUCUGCCUGAGCUCGAUGACGGCUGGGGGUUCAAGGGCUCGAUAGCGGAUGGGAGCUCAAAGGGUGGGCUCGACGACGAGUGGGGUUCUCCGGACUGGCUAGGCUCGACGUCGCGGGGGUCUCAGAGGGUGGGAUCGAUCGCGCAAGGACGGGGUUGGUUGGAUAGCACACGAUCGAAGAGUAAGAGAGCAGCUAAAUUGGGGUACUUGAGUGAGCAUCAUACUUGAUUCUUCUCUUCUCUGUCAGAUUGUGCUCCGGGGAGGUCUCUCAAAUGAGCUGGAAGGGGACAACUUUCACAACAUAAAACAAGUAACGUUCUAAGGGAUAUGAGGAAAAAGACAGGGAUAUUAAAAAGAGGAGAUUGUAAGAAUUCUUUAAUAUAGACCUCAUUUUUUUGUGUGUAGUUUAUUCAGUUUUUAUGUUAUAUAUAGAAAUCUUGUUAGGCUAGUUGGCUCACUCUCUCAACAUUCUCUCUCUAUGAAUCAAGUUGUAUCUAUAUAUAUAUAUGUAUAUAUAUAUUUCUGUUUUUUUGUUGCAUUAGUUCUAUUCUCUAUUUUUUUUUUGUAUGAAAGGGGAAAGUUUUUGGCAUUAUUCUGUUGAUGUGAAAAUGGCCAAGCAUAAUUAGCCAUUUCAAUUCAAUUCUUUUUUUUUUCUUUUUACACCAUUUUGAUUUAACAAAAACAAAAAUGAAGAAAAUUACAACAAAACUUUUUGAAGUCACCUAUUAAUUUUGUUUUCCUCUCUAUGUGUAUGUAUAAAUCUUCUAAAGUAUUUGAAUGAAAAAAUAAUGACUCCUUGUUUUCUUGUUUGUCGUUGCUUAUUCCUAUAUUAUUAUAUCCUUUUGUUUGAUUGGAUUUUUAAAAUUAAGGUUUGAUUAUAUCCUAAAAUAUAUAGAAAUAUGGACAAAAUCUGUUUAAUAAAAUACUUGUUAGAAUAAAAUUAGAAGCACCAUAUCUAUUAACUUGUAAAUAAAGAUUAUGUUUUCGGUAUGUCUUCAUCUUACUAUUAUUUAUUAAUUUUUAAGUAGAAAUUAGAUAGAAUAAUCAAAGUUCUUUAUUUGUGCAUAUUAACUUUUAGCAAGCUCCUUUAAAACAUUUUUAAACAUAUCUAUUAAAAUUUUCUUCUAAACAAUUUUCAAUAUUGUAAUGAGGAAAGAUAUGAUUUAGUUAGUUAUACAUUAUUCAAAAAAUAAAUGAUUAUGUACCCAAUUAGAAACUAGGUGUCACUGUUUUGAAGAAUAUAAUACACUAUUAAUAAUUAGUAUGAGUGGAGACCAUCACAACUUGAAUGGUUUGUAUAAAGUUUAUAUGUUUGUUUGAGUUCAUUUCUGGUAUUAAUUUUUUUUUUCUCUUUGCAAUGGUUUGACUGGGGUUUGCUACUUGAGGCAGAGUGACUGAGUUUGCAAUUGCGAUGGGCAAGGGCUAUUAUAUAUUUGAAAGGAUAUUGUGAUAUUUUUAUUUUGAGUAUAUGCCAAUGCCUGGGAUGGUAGAUUCAAACCACUUGUUUGAGGUGAUAAUGGUGACAUUAGAUUAACUAAAUUGGUAUAUACUUACUGUAAUAUACAUUGAUAUUUGUUAAGAAAAUGACAUCAUUAAAACUGUUCAGUUUCAUUCUUUUUUUUUUCUUUUCGCAGGUUUGUUGAUUGACAAAGAGAGAGUACGCAUGGAGAAGACGAAGGAGAGAGUGAAAAGAAAAAAAUGUUUCUUUGGCAAUCUUGGCUCGGGGUUGUAGUUUAAGGUUCAUGUUAUUGUGGCAUUCUGAUUUUAAUUAUUUUUUUUAUUUGACAGUGCAAUAUUCUCACAUGUAAGUGAUAGAAGUUUUAGUCUACUUGAUUAGUUGUUGGAAGAUGUUGAAGUUUUACCUUUACUUGUAGUUGCUAAGACAACCCUGCUUCAUAAUCCACCUGUUUAGUUUAUAGGUUUUGGAGAUAAACAAAUUAUAAUUUGUUUAUGGUAUGUAUGAAAUUUGUGUCUUCA